CAGUCUCCACUAAACCACAUCUGUCCCAAGCGAAUAGAAAUACGCAAACUGACUUUGGUGUCCCAUGAUUACACAAACUCCUCAUACACAGGAGAGCUCAGUUCAACAGAAACCUCUGUAAUCCCAUUUCCUUUUCUAUGCAGGAAAACACUUCAGUUAUCACAUGUGCCAAAGACGUUUGGCUCUGGUAGUGGAAACUAGGAAGCAAUGGUAAAAUGAAGUAAGAAAUUCCAGGUCCAAGGUGAAUGUCAAGUCUUUUCCCGGGAGCUUGCGCUUUGGGGAAAGUGCAGGCAUGCAAGCCCGACUCUGCAGAAACCUGCAGUCCCCUGCAACCACUCCGCUCAGAUAGCGCAGAUGCACGCACCACAGGGAGCCUCAUUUGCAGAGGAGUGUUUCUUUGUUCUGUUUUAAAGCUCGCCACAGGUCUGGCGACAGAGAUUCGGUCAGUAACCACGGUAAAGUGGCAGCCAAGCUUCCCCACGGGAAUUAGGACUUGCACAGCGCAGAAUCAUGGAAAGCAGGUUUCCCAGGCAGCGGGGAAGGCCUGGAAGCCAUCCUCGCUCACUCCUCAAGACCAUCCUGGUCCCCACGAGGCUGGCUCUAUGUGGCUCUAGGACUGGCUAAGUUCAAACUUAUUGUCCAACCUGAGGCCAGAGAUAGGAACAAGAGACUUGCUGGCUCUUUCCCUCCCUCCAGCUUGGGGCCAGCCACGCCCGACUGCGAACGCCCAGCAAAGCUCCCUUUACUGCGCCUGCGCUCAGGUCCCAGCCUCCUGCAGCUUUUCCCUGAGGCUUCAGUCGCUUAGCAACACUGGAGUCACAAUGGCAGCGCCCUGGAUCCCCUCUUGGAGCAAGGGUUGGUCAGUGUUCUCUCCUAACGUUCCUGGCUGCCGCGUGCCAGGCGGAGGAGGCCAUGGACGGAGAGGAGAAGCAGCAAGAAAAUGGUGGUUACAUAGUGAAGCAGGAGAACCUGUCUCCCAACCAUCUUAUGACACCAACAGCACCCAGAGGAGUGAUUUUCAAAAGCCAGCGUGCCCGCUGGUUUUGCCAGUCAAACACAACAGGAUGCGAAAGCCUUCUUGUGGAAUAGUUCCACUUACCUGUCUGAGUUCAUCAGCAGAACAUGAAAAAAAUUUUGUAGAAUACAUCUCCUUUAUACAUCAAUAUGAUUCCAGGAAAACUCCCAAUGAGCCCAUCCGGGGAAAGAGGUAUGGAACCUUUGUGCAGAGAGAAAUAAAGCCACGGACUACACCAUUAAUUCCUAAGGGACCAGAGGUAUUACUAAACACUCCAGGGUCAUGUUCAUCAGGACAGCCCCAAAAUACAGAAAAAGAAAAUUCAUCAGGAGAUAGAGUGACCUCACCCGGCCUGUGCUGACAGAAUUCCCAAGAACUGCUGCAGACCUAAAACAGCUUAUCAGAAACAGAAGGCAGUCCAGCCCAGCAGGCCCAGUGCCUGGGGUGUGGGCAAGCUCUUCUCACCAGGCAUAGGCCUUUGAACCUGCUAAUAAUAAAGUCAGGGUGAGGACAAAUUCUGGUGUAUCAGAUGAAAGCGUCAUCCCUGGAAUGUAGGCAGAUUUCCCCAGUGUCAUGAGGGCACUUGGUGUUGUUAUCAGUAACCUCAGAACACAGAAUUUACAUAAAUAGGGGGGAAAUUAAAUAAUACACCUCAAUUUUAAGCGGUCCAAAUGAGUGAUAGAUUAGGAAACAGUGUAUCUGUCUCUUUUAUAAACAAAACAACUUAAUAGAAAAACAAACUCUUAAAGGAGAGGCCCAGUUUACACAAUCAUUAGUUACAGCCCUGGAAUCAAACUGGCUGGAAUGUUGACUGUAUUUCAUGAAAGUUGUGUGACCUUGGCUAAGUUACUUAACCAUGACCAAAAAGCAAGCUGGGGAGGAAAGGGUUUAUUAGACUUACACUUCAGCAUUGCUGUUCACCACUGAAGGAAGUCAGGACAGGAACUCAAGACAGGGCAGGAUCCUGGAAGCAGGAGCUGAUGCAGAAGCCUUGGAGGGGAGCUGCAUCCUGGCUUGCUUCCCAUGGCUUGCUCAGCUGAACUUCUUAUAGAACCCAGAACUAGCAGCCUAGGGAUGGCACCACACACUAUGGGCUGGGCCUUCCCCCAUUGAUCACUAAAUAAGAAAAUGCCUUACAGCUGGAUCUCAUGGAGGCAUUUCCUCAGCUGAGGUUCCUUCCUCUGAUGACUCUAGCUUGUAACAAGUUUGCACACAAAACCAGCCAGUACAACUUCUUUAGAUUUCAUAAAGUUAUUGAGCACGAGAUUGUACACAUUGAUCAAUAUAUGGUCAUUGUAAUCCCAUCAUUACUUAAAUGUUCAAUUUAAGGAUAAUUUUCUAUAAAUUUUAAUUCUUCUUUCUUAUUCUAAAACUUAGACCUCCUCUAUACACAACUGGGUGAUGUGGGAUGUCUUUCUGUAUGCUGUGAAUAUGUGUUGCUCUAAUUGGUGGAUAAAUAAAGCUGCAUUGGCCUAUGGCAAGGCAACUUAGAGGCAGGUGGGAAAUCUAAGCAUAUAUAUGGAGAAAAGAAAGGAAAGGAGAGAGAGAUGCCAGCUGCCACCAAAGGAGCAGCAAGAGGCCAGCAGACUGGUAAUGCCACGACCACAUGGCAAUUUAUAAAUUAAUAGAAAUGGGUUAAGUUACAAGAGCUAGCAAGCAAGAAGCCUGCCAUAGGUCAUACAAUUGGUAAUUAAUAUAAGCCUCUCAAUUAUUAUUUUAUAAGCAGCUGUGGGACCAUGGGGCCAAGUGGAACUGGAGAAAUCUUCCAGCUCUAAUUGGCACCCAGACAUGGUAGCAAGAAUUUCCUCCAAAAUCCUAAGAAAGCUUUUUAAAAAUUUCUAAAACAGAGCUAAAAGCAGCUUCCUAAAUGUGUCUCUCAGGCAAGCCAUGAGCUACACUAUGGUGGGUUCACAGCAUGUGGGCUUGAGCUACAGCAUGGAGAAUUCCCACCAAGUUACACAGAGGUUUCUCCAAGCUGUGCAGCACUCUGUAUAGUGGAUUUAGCUUUUGCUAGUUAAAAAAAAAAAAUUUGAAAAAAAGGUUUCUGGGCUACACAUUUCUUGAUAGAGGCAUAGACCUACUGCCUCCCAGAGUCAGCAGAGAGUAUGACUCCCCCAGAGCUGAUGAUAAAGGUACCUCUGCCAUGUUGAGAAGCUGCAGUGGGUGGAGUCAGCAGCCAAGGCCACUUUUCAUCCUAGCCAUGCAGUUUAACAGUUUAAAAUCUCUCCUGGUCAGAGAAGGAUUAUAGAUUCACAAUAAGACAGAUUCAGAUGGAAUAAAACUCUAAACUGUUUACAAUGUGUGUAAAAAUGUAGGUAGACUUGGAAGAGAGAGAAAAAAGAAUAUAUGCAGUUAUAUAAAGAAAUAGGAAUAUAUGCAGUUAUAUAAAGAAAUAGAUAGUUUUUAAAAAUACAGUCUUUAAAGAGACAGUAAAAGUAAUAUAAAAAUAAGCCACAUAAAGAUGGAAAUCACACACAGAGUCUGGAUUAUAUUGUCUUUGGAAUUUUUAACUGCAGAGAGACAUUUGAUUGUAAAGGCUACUCAGUUAAACCAGUGUGGACAUUUGAAAGCUAUCUUGACUUCAAAAUAUGUGUCUAAGGAUAUGUUGCCUUGGAAAAGAGGUUCUGCUUUUGUUUCCACAGAAGAUGAGAACCUAUGGAUUGCUUCUAGGCUAAUAUGGUUUGAUCAACCAAAAUCCCCUGAAAGGUUGAUACAGCCUCACAGACUACUACAGCCAUGAUUUAACUACAAUUCUUAAUUUUCUCAGGAUCCCCAUAAGAAUGCCAGUGCCCCCCAAUUACCAGGAAGUAGUAUAAGAAGCUGCACUCAAAUUCCCAAAAUAUUGCUUAUUUUCAUUUAUUUUUUUAAUUUGGAAAAUUGAAAUAUGUACACCAUACCAUUGAUACUUAUUCAGGAUUUUAAUGGGCAACUGCUUUGAGUUCUGAAAAAGCUGAUUCUGUAGUCACACAUUUACUAGAAGUUAUGGCCAUCAUGGAUAUACUUGCACAAAUUAUAACUGACAAUGCUCCAGCAUAUGUUUCUUGUAAAAUGAAACAUUUUUUUGCUCAUUACAAUAUAAAGCAUAUUACAGGCAACACUACACAAUCCUACCAGCCGAGCAGUUAUAGAAAGAUCAAACAGAACUCUAAAGGACAUGCUAAAUAAACAGAAAGGGGUAACAAAAACUCCCAGAAAUAGAUUACAUAAUGCUCUAUUAACUUUGAAUUUUCUCAAUGCUAGUGAGAAAGGAACAACAGCUGCAGAGAGACAUUGAAUAAUAGAAAAAACUACAGAAUUAAAUCAGCCUAUAUACUUUAAGGAUGUGCUGACCUCAAAAUGGAAACCAGGAGAUGUGUUAUGUUGGGGACGAGGUUUUGCUUUUGUUUCUACAGAAGAAGAUAAGCUGUGGAUACCAUCAAAAUGGAUAAAGGUUCAAUUUGAACGAGAGACCUCUUAAUUAGAAGAGGUAAUAGUUCAUCAACCAGCAUGACCAUUCAAUUUAAACUAAUUUAUACCAUUAACACAUGCAUUUUCAUUUAAUCAGAUAUAACUUGCCAAUAGGGAACCUCCCCAAAGUUAAUCUUGGGGAAAGGUUUUUGUUUUUGUCUUUUAGGAGAAUGAAGGCUAAGGAAUCUGAAGAACACUGGACAGAUUGAAACAUCUGAAGAAAAAUGACAAAUCAUCUAGAAAAAAUGUCCCCAGAAAAGGAGUAAAUUGGCCUAUUGAGAAAUAAUCAAUCAAUGGGACCUUUUGAAACUGAGAAGCUUUUGUAGAGCAAAGGAUACGGUCAACAAGGCAAAGCGACAGCCUACAGAAUGGGAAAAGAUCUUCACCAACCCCACAUCUGACAGAGGACUGAUAUCCAGAAUAUAUAAGGAACUCAAGAAAUUAGACAUCAAAAUGCCCAACAGUCCAAUUAAGAAAUGGGCUAUAGAACUAAACAGAGAAUUCUCAACAGAGGAAACUCAAAUGGCCGAAAGACAUUUAAGGAAUUGCUCAUCAUCCCUAAUCAUCAGGGAAAUGCAAAUCAAAACAACUCUGAGAUACCACCUUACGCCUGUCAGAAUGGCUAAGAUCAAAAACACUGAAGACACCUUAUGCUGGAGAGGAUGUGGAGCUAGAGGAACUCUCCUCCACUGCUGGUGGGAAUGCAAGCUUGUACAACCACUUUGGAAAUCAAUAUGGCGCUUUCUUAGAAAAUUGGGAAUCAAUCUCCCCCAAGAUCCAGCUAUACCACUCUUGGGCAUAUACCCAAGAAAUGCUCAACCACACCAUAAGAGCACUUGUUCAGCUAUGUUCAUAUCAGCAUUGUUUGUAAUAGCCAGAACAUGGAAACAACCCAGAUGCCCUUCAACUGAAGAAUG